UACAGAGGGUGCAAGCGUUGUUCGGAAUCAUUGGGCGUAAAGCGCACGUAGGCGGCUUAUUAAGUCGGGUGUGAAAUCCCUGGGCUCAACCUAGGACGUGCACCUGAAACUGGUAAGCUUGAGUCUCGGAGAGGUUGGUGGAAUUCCCAGUGUAGAGGUGAAAUUCGUAGAUAUUGGGAGGAACACCGGUGGCGAAGGCGGCCAACUGGACGAAGACUGACGCUGAGGUGCGAAAGCGUGGGGAUCAAACAGG
rnacentral:rRNA from 1 species